rnacentral:rRNA from 1 species
GUCGAACGGUCUCUUCGGAGAUAGUGGCGGACGGGUGAGUAACGCGUGAGAAACUGCCUUCAGAUUGGGGACAACAGUUGGAAACGACUGCUAAUACCGAAUGUGCCUUAGGGUAAAAGAUUUAUCGUCUGAAGAUGUGCUCGCGUCUGAUUAGCUAGUUGGUGAGGUAAAAGCUUACCAAGGCAACGAUCAGUAGCUGUUCUGAGAGGAAGACCAGCCACACUGGGACUGAGACACGGCCCAGACUCCUACGGGAGGCAGCAGUGGGGAAUUUUCCGCAAUGGGCGAAAGCCUGACGGAGCAAUACCGCGUGUGGGAGGAAGGCCCUUGGGUCGUAAACCACUUUUCUUAGGGAAGAAGCCCUGACGGUACCUAAGGAAUAAGCCUCGGCUAACUCCGUGCCAGCAGCCGCGGUAAUACGGAGGAGGCAAGCGUUAUCCGGAAUUAUUGGGCGUAAAGAGUCCGUAGGUGGUUACUCAAGUCUGCUGUUAAAGACAGAAGCUCAACUUCUGGUGGGCAGUGGAAACUGAGCAACUAGAGUAUGGUAGGGGUAGAGGGAAUUCCCAGUGUAGCGGUGAAAUGCGUAGAGAUUGGGAAGAACACCGGUGGCGAAAGCGCUCUACUGGGCCAAAACUGACACUGAGGGACGAAAGCUAGGGUAGCGAAAGGGAUUAGAUACCCCUGUAGUCCUAGCCGUAAACGAUGGGUACUAGGCGUAGCUUGUAUCGACCCGAGCUGUGCCGAAGCAAACGCGUUAAGUACCCCGCCUGGGGAGUACGCACGCAAGUGUGAAACUC